AUUGAACGCUGGCGGCAUGCCUUACACAUGCAAGUCGAACGGUAACGGGCCUUCGGGUGCCGACGAGUGGCGAACGGGUGAGUAAUGCAUCGGAACGUACCUUUCAGUGGGGGAUAACGUAGCGAAAGUUACGCUAAUACCGCAUAUUCUGUGAGCAGGAAAGCAGGGGAUCGCAAGACCUUGCGCUGAUUGAGCGGCCGAUGUCAGAUUAGCUAGUUGGUGAGGUAAAGGCUCACCAAGGCGACGAUCUGUAGCGGGUCUGAGAGGAUGAUCCGCCACACUGGAACUGAGACACGGUCCAGACUCCUACGGGGGGCAGCAGUGGGGAAUUUUGGACAAUGGGGUCAACCCUGAUCCAGCCAUGCCGCGUGAGUGAAGAAGGCCUUCGGGUUGUAAAGCUCUUUCGGCCGGGAAGAAAUCGUAUGGGCUAAUACCCUGUGCGGAUGACGGUACCGGCAUAAGAAGCACCGGCUAACUACGUGCCAGCAGCCGCAGUAAAAC
rnacentral:rRNA from 1 species